rnacentral:rRNA from 1 species
UGCAGUCGAACGAUGAUGCCCAGCUUGCUGGGUGGAUUAGUGGCGAACGGGUGAGUAACACGUGAGUAACCUGCCCCUGACUCUGGGAUAAGCGUUGGAAACGACGUCUAAUACUGGAUAUGACUACCGGCCGCAUGGUCUGGUGGUGGAAAGAUUUUUUGGUUGGGGAUGGACUCGCGGCCUAUCAGCUUGUUGGUGAGGUAAUGGCUCACCAAGGCGACGACGGGUAGCCGGCCUGAGAGGGUGACCGGCCACACUGGGACUGAGACACGGCCCAGACUCCUACGGGAGGCAGCAGUGGGGAAUAUUGCACAAUGGGCGAAAGCCUGAUGCAGCAACGCCGCGUGAGGGAUGACGGCCUUCGGGUUGUAAACCUCUUUUAGUAGGGAAGAAGCGAAAGUGACGGUACCUGCAGAAAAAGCACCGGCUAACUACGUGCCAGCAGCCGCGGUAAUACGUAGGGUGCAAGCGUUGUCCGGAAUUAUUGGGCGUAAAGAGCUCGUAGGCGGUUUGUCGCGUCUGCUGUGAAAUCCCGAGGCUCAACCUCGGGCUUGCAGUGGGUACGGGCAGACUAGAGUGCGGUAGGGGAGAUUGGAAUUCCUGGUGUAGCGGUGGAAUGCGCAGAUAUCAGGAGGAACACCGAUGGCGAAGGCAGAUCUCUGGGCCGUAACUGACGCUGAGGAGCGAAAGCAUGGGGAGCGAACAGGAUUAGAUACCCUGGUAGUCCAUGCCGUAAACGUUGGGCGCUAGAUGUAGGGACCUUUCCACGGUUUCUGUGUCGUAGCUAACGCAUUAAGCGCCCCGC